rnacentral:rRNA from 1 species
GAUGAACGCUGGCGGCGUGCCUAAUACAUGCAAGUCGAGCGAACAGAUAAGGAGCUUGCUCCUUUGACGUUAGCGGCGGACGGGUGAGUAACACGUGGGUAACCUACCUAUAAGACUGGAAUAACUCCGGGAAACCGGGGCUAAUGCCGGAUAACAUUUAGAACCGCAUGGUUCUAAAGUGAAAGAUGGUUUUGCUAUCACUUAUAGAUGGACCCGCGCCGUAUUAGCUAGUUGGUAAGGUAACGGCUUACCAAGGCAACGAUACGUAGCCGACCUGAGAGAGUGAUCGGCCACACUGGAACUGGGACACGGUCCAGACUCCUACGGGAGGCAGCAGUAGGGAAUCUGCCGCAGAGGGCGAAAGCCUGACGGAGCAACGCCGCGUGAGUGAUGAAGGUCUUCGGAUCGUAAAACUCUGUUAUUAGGGAAGAACAAAUGUGUAAGUAACUGUGCACGGCGUGACGGUACCUAAUCAGAAAGCCACGGCUAACUACGUG